rnacentral:rRNA from 1 species
GAUGAACGCUGGCGGCGUGCCUAAUACAUGCAAGUCGAGCGAAUGGAUUAAGAGCUUGCUCUUAUGAAGUAGCGGCGGACGGGUGAGUAACACGUGGGUAACCUGCCCAUAAGACUGGGAUAACUCCGGGAAACCGGGGCUAAUACCGGAUAACAUUUUGAACCGCAUGGUUCGAAAUUGAAAGGCGGCUUCGGCUGUCACUUAUGGAUGGACCCGCGUCGCAUUAGCUAGUUGGUGAGGUAACGGCUCACCAAGGCAACGAUGCGUAGCCGACCGGGGAGGGUGAUCGGCCACACUGGGACUGGAACACGGCCCAGACUCCUACGGGAGGCAGCAGUAGGGAAUCUUCCGCAAUGGACGAAAGUCUGACGGAGCAACGCCGCGUGAGUGAUGAAGGCUUUCGGGUCGUAAAACUCUGUUGUUAGGGAAGAACAAGUGCUAGUUGAAUAAGCUGGCACCUUGACGGUACCUAACCAGAAAGCCACGGCUAACUACGUGCCAGCAGCCGCAGUAA